rnacentral:rRNA from 1 species
CCUACGGGAGGCAGCAGUAGGGAAUCUUUCACAAUGGGCGAAAGCCUGAUGGAGCAACGCCGCGUGCAGGAUGAAGGCCUUCGGGUUGUAAACUGCUUUUAUAAGCGAGAAAUAUGAUGGUAACUUAUGAAUAAGGAUCGGCUAACUACGUGCCAGCAGCCGCGGUCAUACGUAGGAUCCGAGCAUUAUCCGGAGUGACUGGGUGUAAAGAGUUGCGUAGGUGGCAUAAUAAGUAGCUAGUGAAAUCUGGUGGCUCAACCAUUCAGACUAUUAGCUAAACUGUUAAGCUCGAGACCGUGAGGGGUAACUGGAAUUUCUAGUGUAGGAGUGAAAUCCGUAGAUAUUAGAAGGAACACCAAUAGCGUAGGCAGGUUGCUGGGACGGUUCUGACACUAAGGCACGAAAGCGUAGGGAGCAAACGGGAUUAGAUACCCCUGUAGUC